rnacentral:ncRNA from 2 species
AUAAGGUCCGGGAAUGAAGUUCUCCCAUGGCUAUUGCCAAAACCGCUGAUAAAGCUGAUGACUUCUGUGAUUUU